UUGUAUCAGGCUCACCACCAACUCUCUCGUCACGUAUCCAGUAUCCAGGUCCCUGUUCAGGUGCCAUUUGUGGUAGAAUGUUCCUCGUGAAGAGGGGGUCCUGGGGAGAAGACUAUCGACAAGCGACUGUUCCCAAAGGCUGAUGGUCGAUGGCAACACUGUUCCUUCCAGCUGACAGCUGAAGGAACACAACGACCAUUUCCAGGUGUCCCGGGAAAUGCAUACAUCCCCAGAAGCUGAUGACUAAUGGAGAAGGACCAAGAGAGCUAAAUUAUUUCCUAUUGAGGCUACCCGGGUGAAGAGUAUGAUGUAACUGAAGACGGUUAUAUCCUUGGCCUCUGCAGAAUUCCUUAUGGGAAAACAAACAAUGAUGAUUCAGCUAAUACCCAAUUGAGAACAAGUUGGUGACUUUCUGGGACCCGAGAUUUUUCACUUUUUCACUUCUUUUCAGUAAAUUUAGGACAAGAAAAGGA